UUGUGUUUGAAUAGAUGUGU
rnacentral:misc_RNA from 1 species